rnacentral:sRNA from 1 species
AAAACCCUUGUUGUUGUUGUAGAUCUCGUCUUUGUAUAGAU